CCCCUUUAAAAAGCACUAUAGGUCCUUUGCUAAUGACCCAUUCAGCUAUCAAAAAAGUGUGGCCUGGAGAUGCAGUUCAGUGACAGAG
ensembl:snoRNA